CUGCAGUCUGCACGCCCCCCGCUCACCCCGCCGGCCAGGCGAAUCGGCUUCCUGCGUCCAGCACUUGUAACUUGUUCGCGACGUGCACUUCUCUCCCGCGUCGAUGAAGAUUUGGCCAGUGGUUGGCGUGGGGCCAGUGGCCGACGUCGUCCUCUCCGCCCUCAUCCUCAUCUUGGCCGCUGCCGUCAUCUUCGGCAUCAUCACGGGGCUCGCGUUCUGCGUAGUUUUCUG